rnacentral:rRNA from 1 species
GCGCAGCAGGCGAGAAACCUCCGCAAUGCUCGAAAGAGCGACGGGGGGACUCCAAGUGCCUACGCUCAGCGUAGGCUGUUCCCGAGCCUAAAAAGCUCGGGGAGUAAGGGCUGGGUAAGACGGGUGCCAGCCGCCGCGGUAAUACCGCAGCCCGAGUGGUGGCCGCUAUUAUUGGGCCUAAAGCGUCCGUAGCCGGCUCGGUAAAUGCCUGGGUAAAUCGUCUGGCCCAACCAGACGAAUUCCGGGUAGACUGCCGGGCUAGGGACCGGAGGAGGGAGAGGGGUACUCCAGGGGUAGGGGUGAAAUCAGCAAGGUGAGUUGCUGAUGUAACUUGCCUUGCAAGUCACAAUCCUGUAAUCCCUGGAGGACCACCGGUGGCGAAGGCGCUCUCCUAGGACGGGUCCGACGGUGAGGGGACGAAAGCCAGGGGAGCAAACCGGAUUA